UGCCACAUAUUUUCCUUAUUUGCACAUGGAAGUCUUUGCUUUCUUAUUUUGCCGCGCACUGAAGUCUUCUUCUUUCUUAUUUUGCCCCUGUAACUUGAGCUUAUCUUCUCUUCCUCAAAAUCGGUCCAUUCUCCUCCAAUAUCUAUCACUUCCUCUCCACCGCCUUUGUCUAUUUCUUCUUAUCUCAAUAUCCUCCCAAUUUUAUCCGGAAAGGCUUCCAUGUCUCUUGUGAUUUCCGACACUCCUCUUUCUUGCACCACUCCGACGAUCCCUUUUGUUUCAUGGCUUCCGAUUAUUGAAUCGGUUUCCUUCUCUUCUAUUGCUCAUCUAUUUUACCCUAAAUUGAACAUUAUCUCUCAAUUAAACCACCGAUCAACCUUAUUGAUCAGCUAUGGAUAAAUCGGGUAUUGCUGGAUAGGGUGUGAAGAUCUUUUGGCUUCCUUCACUCUAAAAUUACCAUUUUUUCCGAUUUAUCCUUUUUCUAGGUAUUUGAUGAAGCGGUCACUGAUUUGGACACUAUUUGUAUGUUUCUAUUCCAAAUUCUAAAAUUCCUCUAAUUGUAUAUAUUUUUUUUCUAAUAUUUUGAUCUUUAUGUUUUGCUCUUUUUGGAAUCAGUCUUUGUUCCUUCCAUUUGGUGUAUAUUUCCAUGGUUUUCUUUGAUUAACUAUAGAUAUCCAAGGGAGUUCAUCUAUAAUUCUUGAUGGGUGUGUUAUUGUGCAAGCGUAACCACUAAACAAACCUUAUUUUGGCUUCAGAAGAGGAAAAGAAAGAAGAGUUUUUUUUUGAUUUAUCUUUUGAUGUGAAUGCUUUCUACAAAAGUUGUGAUUAAAGCUUAUAUUUAAAAUCGGUUAUAGUACCUGUACAGUUUCAUGCACUUGCUUUGCUCCACCAGGUAUGCCAAAAAUCUGUUUCAUGCCCAUCUGAUGCUUUUCUCAUUUCCCAAUUAAAGGAUUAAUCACAAAAAUGACCAAAAUUGGAACAAGAUGACCACAUUUUUAAGGAUAAAUGGUUCACCUGGAAUGAGCUAAAAGAAGUCUACAAGUGCUAUAUAAGAUUCAAGUGCGAUCCUAUCUAAUAUUGAUGUUAUUUCAUGCCAUUUUGACAACAAAAACUAAACAGCCAACUGCCAUAUUUUUGGUCAAAUCUAAUUACAAAAAAUUACCAUUUCCACAGGUUUAUUGGAACAUUUUGACAGCAAAAAUUUUCCAGAAAACUUUGUAUGAUGCAUACUAGAAACUAACUAAAAAGAUAGAUGUUGACCUUGAAGAAUACAAUAAAAUGAAGGAAGCAUAUCUAUAAUUCUAUCGUGGAGCUUUAAGUCUACGAUACGGAACAAUAAUAUUUUUUCUUAUUUAAACAUUGUACUUUCAAAAAAUUGACUAGAAUGGUGUAAUAACAAGUGCCUUUUGAAUUUUAAGGAAAUAAAUAGUUAUUGAUGCGUGUAUUGGUAGUACUGCUUUUCCAAUGAAAUUGGAAUUUCAGAUUCCAUCCCAUUGUGUGUUUUGGAAUUCACUCCAUAUCAAUCCAUCAAAUCCAUGUUUGAUGACGUAGAGUAUUCUUAGGGGAGGACGGAGGGAAUUAAAUUCUAUUGCUUCUUUUUAUUUUAGGGGGUGUUCGGAUUAGCUUAUUAGCUUAUUGCUUAUUAGCUUAUUUGUGGUGGGAAUAAGCAAUAAGCAAUAAGCAUGGGGAGAGAUGCUUAUUAAAAUUAGCUUAUUUAGCUUAAUAAGCUGGAUUUUAUCAAAACAUUCAAAGUUAGCCCCCUUAGAAUGCCAAAAUAUCUUCGUUAUAUUGGGUUUUGAUAUAUAUAUAUAUAUAUAUAUAUAUAUAUAUAUAUAUAUAUAUAUAUAUAUAUAUAUAUAUAUAUAUAUAUACCAUGAAUAAAUUUACAUUUAUACAAUUAAAAAAGUCUAAAAAUAAAAGAAACUGUUAGAGAUAGCAACGGGGGCGGGGAACACAGGGGACCCUAAUCCCCAUCUCAAUCCCCGAAUCCUUAUUCCAAUCCCCAUCCUCAUCCCCAUCGGGGAAUAUAAAUAAACCCCCAUCCCCACCCCCAACGGGGAAACAAAUAUUUCUUUAUCUUUUUUAACAUGCAAACUUUUACGUACAAAAAAACUCUAUAUUUCAAUUUUACCAGCAUAUGAUUAAAAAUUUUAUAAAAUAUAUAAGUACCCAUAAAUUGCAUAAAAAAUAUAAAUAAAUUUUCUACUAAAUUUAAAUACAUACAUGAAAAAUCAAGUAGAAAAAAAUUAUCAGAUUGAUAUUUAAAUAGAUCAACUAAAGAGAAAUAUAUAUAUAUAUAUAUAUAUAUAUAUAUAUAUAUAUAUAUAUAUAUAUAUAUAUAUAUAUAUAUAUAUAUAUAUAUAUAUAUAUAUAUACACGAGUUUAAAUUAGAUAAAAGAGAAAGCAAAAAGUAUAAUUUCAACCAAGUAAUUACUAAUGAGUUAGGUUAUUUAGAUCAAAUUUUAUGUAUUAUAAACUAUACUAUAAAUAUACGUUCUGUAUUAUUUUUAUAUAUUAAUAUAUGUCGGGGGCGGGUCCAGGGUCGGGGAUUAAGGGUAUCCCCAUCCCCACUUUUUUUUAUUCGGGUAUUCCCCAUCCCCGGUCAACCUGGGGAUUCUCCAGUUAAAACGGGUGCGGGUUUCGGGUUCCCCAUUGGGUAUGUGGCUUUUUGCCAUCCCUAGAAACUGUAAUAAGAAACUCGAUUGUUUGCAAUUCAUUAAAUUACAUUAAUUGAAUAUUUUUCUCCUUAUAUGACUAUUUGCUAUUUAUUGUUAUAAAUUUGGUCCAUUGGGACAUGGAAUUUCAAAAUACAAAUCCAUCUCACAAGUUCAUUGGGAUUUGGACGUUCACAACGCAACACAUUUAGAACUACAAUCCAGAGAUAUGACACCGCCUUUUUCGAAAGUUGCAUUUUUUGUUACACUCGUGUUAUGUUCCUAUGGUAAUUAUUUUCCCUUUAUUCUCAAGAUAUCUUAUAGUUUAUCAUGUUUCUUCCUAUAUCUCCUAAAACUAUGACUAAUGCUUAAUAAAUUUAAUGUUUUAUUCUUAUUUUAUCUUUUAGUAUUGGAAGGUUCUAAAUCGCUUGAAUCAAUGACAAGUUCAGUUGGGAAACAUACUGAACGCAAGAUUUCCAUACAAAGUUGUGCACGCAAAUGUGUGCUGAGAUAAGAUAGUGCACAUUUUUGUCCUGGAGGAAUAGAAUUUUGCAAUCAAGGUUGUUGUACAUGCAUAUUUCAAUAAAAUGAAUUAGUCCAAUGAUUGAUUUUGAUUUUGUUCAAAUUCGACAAUUUAUGAAUCUUUGCUUAGUGAUUGGGCUCUCGUUUAAAUUCAAGAUCGGUGAUUUUUUCAUUGAAUAAAAUAAAUUAAUCCGUCGGUUGAUUUGA